CACGUAGGGCGCAAGCGUUAUCCGGAAUUAUUGGGCGUAAAGCGUCCGCAGGUGGACAUACAAGUCUGCUGUCAAAGUGCAGAGCUUAACUCUGUAAAGGCGGUGGAAACUGUAGGUCUUGAGUAUGGUAGGGGUAGAGGGAAUUCCCGGUGUAGCGGUGAAAUGCGUAGAUAUCGGGAAGAACACCAGUGGCGAAAGCGCUCUACUGGGCCAUAACUGACACUGAGGGACGAAAGCUAGGGGAGCGAAUGGG
rnacentral:rRNA from 1 species